ACAGAAUCUGAAGCAGGCUCCAGGCUCUGAGCUGUCAGCACAGAGCCCGACGCGGGGCUCGAACCCACGAACUGCGAGACCAUGAGCUGAGGACGCUUAACCGACUAAGUCACCCAGGCGCCCUUCUCAUCACGUUUUAUCGAGGAUUUUUAUACUUCAUGGUGAAAAUAAGAUAACCAGAGUCCAGCCCAUAAAUGAAGACUCUUGACGAUGUCGUGACCAUGGGGACAUGUACAGCUGCCCCUGGGACUCUCCUCCUUUCUUUCGAAGACCUUUCGGGAUGCGGUGCAGCCUCAGAAAACGCAAAGUCUGCCUACUGGCAACAAGUUUCCUGCAGAAGGGUCUGCGGAAAGGGAGCCCAAAUCGACUGCACCGUCCAAUUAAAUGCUCCAUUUUAGGGGCGCCUGGGUGGCGCAGUCGGUUAAGCGUCCGACUUCAGCCAGGUCACGAUCUCGCGGUCCAUGGGU